GUGGGUGUAGCUCAGUGGUAGAGCACGUGUUUAGCAUGCACGAGGUCGUGGAUUCAUUCCCCAGUACCUCCA
rnacentral:tRNA from 1 species